rnacentral:lncRNA from 1 species
GUCGACUCCUGUGAGGUAUGGUGCUGGGUGCAGAUGCAGUGUGGCUCUGGAUAGCACCUUAUGGACAGUUGUGUCCCCAAGGAAGGAUGAGAAUAGCUACUGAAGUCCUAAAGAGCAAGCCUAACUCAAGCCAUUGGCACACAGGCAUUAGACAGAAAGCUGGAAGUUGAAAUGGUGGAGUCCAACUUGCCUGGACCAGCUUAAUGGUUCUGCUCCUGGUAACGUUUUUAUCCAUGGAUGACUUGCUUGGGUAAGGACAUGAAGACAGUUCCUGUCAUACCUUUUAAAGGGUUUUUAAUGACCACAACAAGCAAGCAUGCAGCUUACUGCUUGAAAGGUGAGGAUUGGAAAUGUUGGGACUAUUAUAAUUGCAGAAUACAUGAUGAUCUCAAUCCAACUUGAACUCUCUCACUGAUUACUUGAUGACAAUAAAAUAUCUGAUAUUCUGC